UUUUUGGAGGUAUUUGAUUAAUAAACAAAAGGCAGAUGGAGCGCACCGAACAUGCGAGUGAAGCCACCAAAGCGAAUACAAAAUCAAAAGCGAAUACAAAGUCGCAGCAGUGCUAAAGAUAGCGUCGUAUUGUUUAAACGUCUCGAGUGAUUCAUUAUUUUGUGUCAAAAAAUGCCGUCUUGUGUUAUUAAUAUUAAACAUUGUGAAA